GGUGAGUAACACGUGAGCAACCUGCCCUAGGCUUUGGGAUAACCCUCGGAAACGGGGGCUAAUACCGAAUAUGACCUCGCAUCGCAUGGUGUGUGGUGGAAAGUUUUUCGGCCUGGGAUGGGCUCGCGGCCUAUCAGCUUGUUGGUGGGGUGAUGGCCUACCAAGGCGACGACGGGUAGCCGGCCUGAGAGGGCGACCGGCCACACUGGGACUGAGACACGGCCCAGACUCCUACGGGAGGCAGCAGUGGGGAAUAUUGCACAAUGGGCGGAAGCCUGAUGCAGCGACGCCGCGUGAGGGAUGACGGCCUUCGGGUUGUAAACCUCUUUCAGCAGGGACGAAGCGUAAGUGACGGUACCUGCAGAAGAAGCGCCGGCCAACUACGUGCCAGCAGCCGCGGUAAGACGUAGGGCGCGAGCGUUGUCCGGAUUUAUUGGGCGUAAAGAGCUCGUAGGCGGCUUGUCGCGUCGACC
rnacentral:rRNA from 1 species